UUCCUCUUAAGUUAUUUAUAUAUUUUUUCUAACAGUCUUCGAUCUUUUCUUUAUAAAUUUCAGAAACUUUUAAUAGUCUUAGAACGUUUAUAACACUCUAUGAUGCUUUUUAACAGUUUCCAAAUUCUUGUAACAGUUUUAGAUCUCUUCUGUCUACCAUUUAACAGUUUCAUAACCUUAUUGGCAGUCUUAGAUCCUUUGUAACAGGUUAUGAUCCUUUUUAACAGUUUCCAAUCAUCUUUAACAGUUUCGGAUCCUUUCCUCCCUGCACUGUCUUGACGCUCGGCUCUUCUCGGAGACGGAGGGAAGUGGCGUAGUUUACCUUACCUGUCUGUCGCGCGGUGGUUCGUUGUGUAUAAAACUUGCAGUAUAAAACAUCAAGGGGGCGCAGGUAACCCAGCCACAGGGGGAGCCAGGGGGGGGAGCCUCAGGGGAGUAGAGUCCUGGCGCCAGACUCUCCCUGGGUAAGGUGAAGCGUCGACUUGCUGUGAGGGUGGCGAGGAGGGUGUGUGAGGGCGCCUGUUGUUUGUUUUGGUGUGGUCAGAAGCUUGAGGUCCCGAGACUGACAGACUAAAAGGAAACUAAACUAAACUAAGGAAACGAGGCUCCGAAUACUGACAGGCCGAGGGGAAGCUAAACUAAGCAGAACAAACUGAGCUUCCAAGGUUGACAGACCAAAGGGACACUAACCUUUUUUUUACGGCAAAGGAGACAGCUCAAAGAAAAAAAAACGAAAAAAAGAAAGAAAAAGAAAACAGUAAUUAAAAAAAGCCCACAAACUGAAAACAAACACGUAACAAACACCCCGUUAAAAAAAAGCGGAAGAAGAUUAGUAAAAAAAAAAUGGUACGCAAGUCCUUUCCCUCUUGAAAUAAUUUUAGGUGCAGAAAGGAAGAAGCUGAACAGUAAAAAUGCUACAGUCGUGGAAUUUAGCAGUGAAAGAGCAUGAAAGAACGUUUAGCUCAUCCUUGCAUUUGAGAAUUGGACAGUGACCGGGAUGAAGGAAUGAAGACUCUGGUUCACUUUUGCAUUAGGAAGUUGGACAGGAGAUGGUGUCAACGCAGCAAGCGUGUAAAUGGAUACAGUAGGACUAUUUAACAUUUCUAGAGUGUUAACGUUACCGGAUUUAAGUAAACAAACACCACCUCGAACAAGAUAAACAGGCAUCUCCACACAACGCCUCCACAACACACUUCAAGAGAGAGAGAAAAAAAAAAAGAGUCGACGUUUAAGCUUACUCAGGACGCUCUUAACGCUUCUAAAUGCCACCUACGUCCACCUUUGAAGCAGUGUGUGAGGGAGGGGGCGAGAGGGAGGGAAAGGGAGGAGACAUUACCUAUACAAAGAUCAAGGUGAGAGAGGGGAGGUAAAGGGGGACAGGUAAGGAAGGGAGGAGGGUCUUUGCACUUCAUUAAGCCACUCUUCUCUCUACGCUAGGCAGCACAAGCUUCUAUCAACGUAGCUAUGGCGUGAAAAAUAGAUCGGGGCAGGUGAGAGGACAGGACAGGUGAGGACAGGUAAGGAGGUGCACCGGGCUGUCUGUUUACCUGCCUACGUGAAGCCAAUGGUGCUAACCCCUCGUGGCUGGGCUCCUGUUUGCUUACUUAGACACGGUUUGGGUAUCUUCGGGGGUCUAUUUACAAACACAGAGACCUAUAAACAACACGUCAGCUUUGUAAUAUAUAUAUCUAUGGCUUUGGUAAUCUGUCUGUCUUUAUACAACUAUGUACAGAGCGAGCCUGUGUGUGAGUGAGCAAUAGAACACCGUAGGAGGGCGACGCAACCCCGUUUUCUUCACGUUUUCUUUCGUCUUUUCAGCUCCUACUAAGGGUUUUUUUUUCAUGUGCCUUUUCUACCUCCUCCUUCUCCUGCUCCUUCUCCUUCUCCUCCUGCUCCCGUGUUCUCUCUUCUUCUGUUUCCUCCUCCUUCUCCACCUCCCUGUUUUCUCUCUCUCUUUCCUCGUCUUCCUUCUUCUUCUCUCCUCUUCUUUCUUCUUUUUGAGUCUUCUUUCGGUUGCUUUCUCCUCCUCCACCUCCCUGGUUUCUAAGUUAGUUUGUUCUCUCUUUCCUCCUCUUCCUUCUUCUUUCUUCCUCCUCCUCCCUGGUUUCUUAGUUAGCUUGUUCUCUCUUUCCUCCUCUUCCUUCUUCUUUCUUCCUCCUCCUCCCUGGUUUCUUAGUUAGCUUGUUCUCUCUUUCCUCCUCUUCCUUCUUCUAUCUUCCUCCUCCUCCUUUUUAUUCUCCUCUUUUCCUCCUUAGUUCAUCUCGCCCGCACCUUCUCUCUACAUUAUGCCGUUUUUAUUAUCUUAUGAAACUAGACAAAGAUAGAAAAGGAAAGAAAAAGCAAUUAUUUGUGUACAUGAGCGUCCACACACACCACACACACACACACACACACACACACACACACACACACACACACACGCACACGCA